UACGUAGGGGGCAAGCGUUGUCCGGAAUCAUUGGGCGUAAAGAGCGCGUAGGCGGCCCUGUAAGUCCGCUGUGAAAGUCAAGGGCUCAACCCUUGAAUGCCGGUGGAUACUGCAGGGCUAGAGUCCGGAAGAGGCGAGUGGAAUUCCUGGUGGUAGCGGUGAAAUGCGCAGAUAUCAGGAGGAACACCGAUGGCGAAGGCAGCUCGCUGGGACGGUACUGACGCUGAGGUGCGAAAGCGUGGGGAGCAAACAG
rnacentral:rRNA from 1 species